rnacentral:rRNA from 1 species
UACGUAGGGGGCAAGCGUUGUCCGGAAUCAUUGGGCGUAAAGAGCGUGUAGGCGGCCCGAUAAGUCCGCUGUGAAAGUCCAGGCUCAACCCUGGGAUGCCGGUGGAUACUGUCGGGCUCGAGUCCGGAAGAGGAGUGUGGGAAUUCCUGGUGUAGCGGUGAAAUGCGCAGAUAUCAGGAGGAACACCGGUGGCGAAGGCGGGUCUCUGGGCCGAUACUGACGCUGGAGGAGCGAAAGCGUGGGGAGCGAACAGG